AAUGAACGCUGGCGGCAGGCCUAACACAUGCAAGUCGAACGAGUGGCGGACGGGUGAGUAAGUUCUGGGAAACUGCCUGACGGAGGGGGAUAACUAGGAGAAACGGUAGAUACAACCGCUUACCAUCCGAUCGGCCUAGAGGGGAUUAGCUAGUUGGUGGGGUAACGGCUCGCCAAGGCGACGAUGCCUAGCUGGUCCGAGAGGAUGAUCAGCCACACUGGAACUGAGACACGGCCCAGACUCCUACGGGAGGCAGCAGUGGGGAAUAUUACACAAUGGGCGCAAGCCUGACGCAGCAACGCCGCGUGUGUGAAGAAGGCCUUCGGGUUGUAAAGUACUUUCAGCAGGGAGGCGGUACCCGAAGAAAAAGCACCGGCUAACUCCGUGCCAGCAGCCGCGGUAAUAC
rnacentral:rRNA from 1 species